UGAAUAUGGGGGGACCAUCCUCCAAGGCUAAAUACUCCUGACUGACCGAUAGUGAACCAGUACCGUGAGGGAAAGGCGAAAAGAACCCCGGCGAGGGGAGUGAAACAGAACCUGAAACCGUGUACGUACAAGCAGUGGGAGCCCCACCACUAAGCCAGUGGUGAACUCCACAUACGCAUCCUUUGCUGAGGAUACGGUUAACGGAGCGAAAGCGACGUUUAACCGCAAAAGAAGCAGAGGGGGCUUAGUGGUGGGGUGACUGCGUACCUUUUGUAUAAUGGGUCAGCGACUUAUAUUCUGUAGCAAGGUUAACCGCAUAGGGGAGCCGGAGGGAAACCGAGUCUUAAUUGGGCGUUAAGUUGCAGGGUAUAGACCCGAAACCCGGUGAUCUAGCCAUGGGCAGGUUGAAGGUUGGGUAACACUAACUGGAGGACCGAACCGACUAAUGUUGAAAAAUUAGCGGAUGACCUGUGGCUGGGGGUGAAAGGCCAAUCAAACCGGGAGAUAGCUGGUUCUCCCCGAAAGCUAUUUAGGUAGCGCCUCGUGAAUUCAUCUCCGGGGGUAGAGCACUGUUUCGGCCAGGGGGCCAUCCCGGCUUACCAAUCCGAUGCAAACUGCGAAUACCGGAGAAUGUUAUCACGGGAGACACACGGCGGGUGCUAACGUCCGUCGUGAAGAGGGAAACAACCCAGACCGCCAGCUAAGGUCCCAAAGUCAUGGUUAAGUGGGAAACGAUGUGGGAAGGCCCAGACAGCCAGGAUGUUGGCUUAGAAGCAGCCAUCAUUUAAAGAAAGCGUAAUAGCUCACUGGUCGAGUCGGCCUGCGCGGAAGAUGUAACGGGGCUAAACCAUGCACCGAAGCUGCGGCAGCGACACUGAUGUGUUGUUGGGUAGGGGAGCGUUCUGUAAGCCGUUGAAGGUGGCCUGUGA
rnacentral:rRNA from 1 species